rnacentral:tRNA from 1 species
GCCUUUGUGGUGUAACUGAAUAGCAUGUCCGGCUAGCAAUCGGAAGGUCCGGGUUAGAAUCCAGGCGAAGGCA